GUUGAAACACCGGUUUUCGUACGAUCACCGAAGUUAAGCAAUAUUGAGACUGGUCAGUACCUAGGCGGGUGACCACUUUAGAAUACCAGAUGAUGUAA